GUGGGGAAUAUUGCACAAUGGGCGCAAGCCUGAUGCAGCAACGCCGCGUGAGGGAUGACGGCCUUCGGGUUGUAAACCUCUUUUAGUAGGGAAGAAGCGAAAGUGACGGUACCUGCAGAAAAAGCACCGGCUAACUACGUGCCAGCAGCCGCGGUAAUACGUAGGGUGCAAGCGUUGUCCGGAAUUAUUGGGCGUAAAGAGCUCGUAGGCGGCUUGUCGCGUCUGCUGUGAAAACCCGAGGCUCAACCUCGGGCCUGCAGUGGGUACGGGCAGGCUAGAGUGCGGUAGGGGAGAUUGGAAUUCCUGGUGUAGCGGUGGAAUGCGCAGAUAUCAGGAGGAACACCGAUGGCGAAGGCAGAUCUCUGGGCCGUAACUGACGCUGAGGAGCGAAAGCAUGGGGAGCGAACAGGAUUAGAUACCCGUGUAGUCC
rnacentral:rRNA from 1 species